rnacentral:rRNA from 1 species
GAUGAACGCUGGCGGCGUGCCUAAUACAUGCAAGUCGAGCGAACAGACGAGGAGCUUGCUCCUCUGACGUUAGCGGCGGACGGGUGAGUAACACGUGGAUAACCUACCUAUAAGACUGGGAUAACUUCGGGAAACCGGAGCUAAUACCGGAUAAUAUAUUGAACCGCAUGGUUCAAUAGUGAAAGACGGUUUUGCUGUCACUUAUAGAUGGAUCCGCGCCGCAUUAGCUAGUUGGUAAGGUAACGGCUUACCAAGGCGACGAUGCGUAGCCGACCUGAGAGGGUGAUCGGCCACACUUGAACUGAGACACGGUCCAGACUCCUACGGGAGGCAGCAGUAGGGAAUCUUCCGCAAUGGGCGAAAGCCUGACGGAGCAACGACGCGUGAGUGAUGAAGGUCUUCGGAUCGUAAAACUCUGUUAUUAGGGAAGAACAAAUGUGUAAGUAACUAUGCACGUCUUGACGGUACCUAAUCAGAAAGCCACGGCUAACUACGUG